rnacentral:rRNA from 1 species
AGUGAACGCUGGCGGUAGGCCUAACACAUGCAAGUCGAACGGCAGCACAGUAAGAGCUUGCUCUUACGGGUGGCGAGUGGCGGACGGGUGAGGAAUACAUCGGAAUCUACUUUUUCGUGGGGGAUAACGUAGGGAAACUUACGCUAAUACCGCAUACGACCUACGGGUGAAAGCAGGGGAUCUUCGGACUUUGCGCGAUUGAAUGACCCGAUGUCGGAUUAGCUAGUUGGCGGGGUAAAGGCCCACCAAGGCGACGAUCCGUAGCUGGUCUGAGAGGAUGAUCAGCCACACUGGAACUGAGACACGGUCCAGACUCCUACGGGAGGCAGCAGUGGGGAAUAUUGGACAAAGGGCGCAAGCCUGAUCCAGCCAUACCGCGUGGGUGAAGAAGGCCUUCGGGUUGUAAAGCCCUUUUGUUGGGAAAGAAAAGCAGCAGGUUAAUACCCCGCUGUUCUGACGGUACCCAAAGAAUAAGCACCGGCUAACUUCGUG